rnacentral:rRNA from 1 species
AUUCCAGCUCCAAUAGCGUAUAUUAAAGUUGUUGCAGUUAAAAAGCUCGUAGUCGGAUUUCGGGUCGAUCUGUCCGGUCUGCCGUUGGGUAUGCACUGGUUUUGGUCGGUCUUUUCGCGUGAGGCUCUGUGCGUCGUUGAUUCGGCGUGCCGGGUGCUCUGCAUUUUUACUUUGAGAAAAUCAGAGUGUUCAAAGCAGGCCUUUGCCAUUGUAUGUGUUAGCAUGGGAUAAUGGAAUAGGACCUUGGUGCUAUUUUGUUGGUUUCGAACGCCGAGGUAAUGAUUAAUAGGGAUAGUCAGGGGCACUCGUAUUCCGUAGAGAGAGGUGAAGUUCUUAGACCCACGGAAGACGUACUACAGCGAAAGCAUUUGCCAGGGAUGUUUUCAUCA